rnacentral:rRNA from 1 species
CCUACGGGAGGCAGCAGUGAGGAAUAUUGGUCAAUGGACGAGAGUCUGAACCAGCCAAGUAGCGUGAAGGAUGACUGCCCUAUGGGUUGUAAACUUCUUUUGUCAAGGGACAAAAUCAGGCUCGAGAGCCUGACCGAGGGUACUUGAAGAAAAAGCAUCGGCUAACUCCGUGCCAGCAGCCGCGGUAAUACGGAGGAUGCGAGCGUUAUCCGGAUUUAUUGGGGUUAAAGGGUGCGUAGGCGGGCUGUUAAGUCAGCGGUAAAAGCCCGGGGCUCAACCCCGGCGAGCCGUUGAAACUGGCUGUCUUGAGAUGUCGAGAGGUAUGCGGAAUGCGCAGUGUAGCGGUGAAAUGCUUAGAUAUUGCGCAGAACUCCGAUUGCGAAGGCAGCAUACCGGCGGCGAUCUGACGCUGAGGCACGAAAGCGUGGGUAUCGAACAGGAUUAGAUACCCCUGUAGUC